AGGAGCAGCGUGGAGUGGCUGUAUGGGAAGCCACCAGCAGCAUCAGGAACUGGGCAGCUGCUGCUUGCAUGUCCAGGGCCCUGGCCAUGAGUAUGCUCUACAUGACAGCUGGGAGCGAGAGGGGAAGGGGAAAGCAUCUGUACUCCCCAAAAGGCAAAUCCAGAUAGAACAAGGGCUGUCUCUUACCAGGGACAAAUGCUCCUGCCAGGUGCUGGGGCUGCAGCAGCAAAGUCCCCCCUGCAGGGAUGGGUGUGGGCUGCAGCCUGGAGAGGCUUGGGCAGCCAUAGGACUUGCACAGUGGGGCUCUGCCGAGCAAAGGCUGUAGGAAGAGGGAGGGAGGAGGAAAAGAAGCAUUUAAUGUUAUCUGCUAUUAAACCAGUGCCAGGUGCCACCUCCUUCCUUUGCACAGAGCAGCUUGCAGGUGAGCGAGUCCUUCCCUCGGCACAGGUAAACCAAGGGAAAGCUGCGGUCCCAGCUGGGACCAGAGUAGGUUGGGGACAUGGUCCUGCUGCUCCCAUGCUUCCCCAGCUGCCCCCAGGCUCACACAAGGACACGGAGAAAGAAACACGAACGCCUACAGCCUGUCCCCAUCCCACCGCUCUGCGUCGGGAGAAACAACCCGUCCUGAUGCUCAGAAAGGAAUGAAAAAGGGAAAAGAAGGGGAGGGGAAGGCUGAGAUGGAGGGAAAGAUCCCCAGGUCAGCAGAAAAGGCCUGGAACGAAGGGUUGGAAGCUGGGAAACGUCAGGGGGGGAUGCUGUCCAUUCACCACCCGUCCCUGCCUCAUCCGCAUCUAACUGUCCUCGCCGUUCUCUCCUGGCCCUUUGAUCAGCCUCUUCUGUCCCCGUUUCCCUACAGGCCCUUUGGGCUUGGCAAAGGCCUGCUUGAAGGCGUGCUGCUUGGGGUGCACCUCGUCAUACAGGAACUCUGCCGUCAGCUCAGCGCCGUCGUCGAUCUCAAUCUUCUUCGCUAUCUCCAGACAGAACUCCUGCUCCACGGUGUCGAGCAACCGGCUCUUGCAGCUGGAGUAGAGCAUGCGCUCCUUGAUGCUGCAUUUGUACCCAGGCAUGGAGUAGAUGAACACAACAGACUCCAGGUAGUCUCCCUCAUGUGAGUGCUUGUACAGGAAGAAGUGGUAGCGAGCAGAGUCCUGUGGGAUCCUCUUGGGCAGGUCAGAGAUAUCCGUGGGGCUCGUGUGCACCAGGUCGAUGGUCUCCCGCUCCAGAUCCAGCUUCAGCUGGAUGUAGUUGAUUUUCUUCUGCUUCAGCGCCUGGAUAGCCUGCUGUGCGUCCAGCUGCAGGGGGAAGGCCAGGCCCUGCAGGGUCUGGUGCUUGCUCUCCACACUGAUCUCUGUUUUCACCUCAUUGAUGCGGAUCUGCUGGAGCUCCUGCUCAGCUGCAGUCAGCGGGGCGGGCGCAGAGCAGGAUGACACGUGCUUCUGGUACCCACUGAGGGACACAUCCUCCUUAACUGUUCCAAACAUCUCAUCCUUUAUGUGCCCCCCUCCAAACUCUUUCUUCACCGUUGCUCUGGUUGCAGCGUACAGCAUCUUCAGCCUGACCGGGGAGUUAUCAGGGGACCAGGAGAUAAAGAGCCACUCGUAGCCCUGGGCGUUCUGGCUGUCCAGGCGGUACAGCACAUAGCACGGCUGCUGCUCGUCCAGCAAGGGCAGCACAAAGGCAUCAUAGUCCACGUCCCAACGCCGGGCCAGCUCCUUGUGCGCCCCCAAAACGAGCUGUUCUUCCUCGAUGAUCACCUUGAUGAGCCGGACCGAACCAUUGCGGGCUUUGGCAAAGAAGUCCCUUAAUUCCGUGGUGGCGUGGAUGCCGGUCUGGUGCGUCAUGGCUCCUCUCCGCUCCG
rnacentral:lncRNA from 1 species